rfam:Triticum aestivum genome assembly, contig: Triticum_aestivum_CS42_TGACv1_scaffold_002691_1AL
AUAAUACUCCCUCCGUUCGGAAUUAGUUGUCGUAGAAAUGGAUGUAUCUAGACGUAUUUUAGUUCUAGAUACAUCCAUUUCCGAGACAAGUAAUUCGGAACGGAGGGAGUAGAUA